AUUGAACGCUGGCGGCAUGCUUAACACAUGCAAGUCGAACGGAAACAGCAAGAGCUUGCUCUUGGCUGUCGAGUGGCGGACGGGUGAGUAACGCGUGGGAAUCUACCCAGAAGCGGGGGACAAGCCAGGGAAACUUGGUCUAAUACCGCAUAAUCUCUUCGGAGUAAAGGUGGCCUCUAUUUAUAUGCUAUCGCUUUUGGAUGAGCCCGCGUUAGAUUAGCUAGUUGGUGGGGUAAAGGCCUACCAAGGCAACGAUCUAUAGCUGGUCUGAGAGGAUGAUCAGCCACAUCGGGACUGAGACACGGCCCGGACUCCUACGGGAGGCAGCAGUGGGGAAUAUUGGACAAUGGGCGCAAGCCUGAUCCAGCAAUGCCGCGUGUGUGAAGAAGGCCUGAGGGUUGUAAAGCACUUUCAAUUGUGAAAAAGGGUAUAAGCUUAAUACGCUUGUAUUUUGAUAUUAACUUUAGAAGAAGCACCGGCUAACUCUGUGCCAGCAGCCGCGGUAAUACAGAGGGUGCGAGCGUUAAUCGGAAUUACUGGGCGUAAAGCGCGCGUAGGCGGCUAAUUAAGUCAGAUGUGAAAUCCCUGGGCUCAACCUAGGAACUGCAUCUGAAACUGGUUAGCUAGAGUUUAGGAGAGGGGAGUAGAAUUUCGGGUGUAGCGGUGAAAUGCAUAGAGAUCCGAAGGAAUACCAGUGGCGAAGGCGACUCCCUGGCCUAGAACUGACGCUGAGGUGCGAAAGCGUGGGUAGCAAACGGGAUUAGAUACCCCGGUAGUCCACGCCGUAAACGAUGUCAACUAGCCGUUGGGGCCCUUGAGGUCUUAGUGGCGCAGCUAACGCAUUAAGUUGACCGCCUGGGGAGUACGGUCGCAAGACUAAAACUCAAAGGAAUUGACGG
rnacentral:rRNA from 1 species